GUUUGAUGAGCAAAAAGAUCAAAGUAGCAGUUGAGCGAAUUUUGGGGGUUGUAUUUUUAGAUGCAGAGCACCCUACUCCUGCUCAUGUUGGAGAAGGCCUUGUAAUUGAUGAAUGGGAUAUGAUGAAACACAAGGGAUGCCUAUUGGGGGCCAUAAGAAAUCUCUUUCCUUAAUUACAAGUCAGGAACUUGUCUUCCUUUCA